UUUCGGUUUCCGUUUCGGCCUAGAAUUUGCAUUUCAGUGCAUCCCUAAUUACGAACUAAUUACAGUGGAUUGAGGUUUUUAAGAAGUAAUACGUGGAUUUAACGCUUGGGACUAGAUACAUCCUGACUAAUGUCUAUGUUACCGGUCAUCUCUUGUGCAAAAUAAGUUUAACCUGUAGUGAGUGAUAGAAUGUAUAGCUUGAUCACGUCAUUUUUACGCCUGUUAGGUGCUUGCUCAAUCCCGUUGCUCUCGGGAGUUUGGGGGGGGUAUUAGUUAGCUAGUUGAGCUUUUAGAGCUGAGGGUGGUUGUUUGAACCUGUGAUACAUGCCGUAGUGUUAUCAUCUAGGGAACAAACCUAAGAUACAUGCCAUCGUGUUAUUAACUAAGG